AGCUCCGAGGUGUAUUUACACAUUAGAUUGCAAAUCUGAAGAAGUAGGCUAGUCGCCUACCGGGGCUU
rnacentral:tRNA from 1 species